AUUUUUUUUAUUUUUUGAAAAUUAACACCUUAGUCUAUAUGUUGCAGUCAGUGAGGGCUUGUCUCUAUCAUCGUGUAUUAAUUUGCACUACUUUAUCUAUUUUUAAAAUCUUUAAAUUGGUGAUGUUUAUGCUUGUGCAAUAUGCUCACACUACCAGAUUAAACUAUUUCAGUCUCAAUGUAUUUAGAAUAACUUGUUGUGCAAUUCAGCUUAUUUAUUAUAAUUGUAGCUUUCCAACGACUACCACUACAUUCUCUCUUCAUUGGUAAUUAAUAAAUGAACAGAAAUAACAC
rnacentral:misc_RNA from 1 species